rnacentral:lncRNA from 1 species
AUGCCCACGUCCCUUCUCAAGGACCAUUCCAGAGAAAGGAGGACUAAUGAGAAGGCGGUGGCUAAGGGAAGAAAGGACCUGGACCAGGAACUUGAGGUGUGUGAGUGGAGCACACACAGACAGAGAACCCAGGGCAAGCACUGUAAUCCGUCAGCUCCUGCUGCGUCACAAAAAUGUCCCAACUUUCUAAGUCGGCACAGGUCUAUAAGUAUGUGCAUGUUUAGGCAACAGUCUGCAGACUGUUCGUCCAGGCCCCAGCCCCAGCCACCCACCUGCCAAGGAGUCGUGAGUAUAGAUGAGCUGCGCCCCCGUGACAGGAAGUGGCCCCGAACAGCCCUUCAGAUCACGUCCAGCCAUGUGUCCAGAAGAAGCCGAGUCGUGCUGGGAAGGCCAUCAGCCGACUCCCCCAUGCCAUGCUGUGGCACAUCCGAGGGGGUCCUUACCAGAGGCCAAUCAGAGGGGGCCGCCCAACCAUGGGCGUUCUGCCCGCGGAACUGCGAGCUAGCAGCAAGCUACACAGAGAAGAAGGUGAAGCCCACUGUUGAAAAUCCCAUGGUCCCAGACUCCCGGAGAAGGGUUUCAGAAGGGACACGGGGAGGAUGCUAAGCGAGGGGCACCCGGAGCCUGCAGGCCCUCAGCUCCUGUCCACAAAGCUCUGUGCUGGCCGGCACUUCUCCUGCGCACGCACAGCGGACUCCGGGCGCUGGGUUGAGGGUCCGACCCCCGACCCCCAUGCGGCUUCUCGCCCUGCGCACAAGCAGGGAACAGGAGGAGGAACAGCUCGGACAGGCAGCUGUUCCGUCUCAUCUGUCUGCAAACAGAAACGUGGUGGCUCCGUUUGUGUCUGGGGUCCACACCCACAGCACGAAGGUGAAACCCGUUGGAUGGACCGCUGCCCGGUGUAGAUUUCCGCUCACACGGGAAAUAUUUUACUGACUUCAAAUAACUUUUCUAACUGACACCUAUUAUUCUCUUUCUUCUUGUUAGCCAUGGGCUUUGAAAUUAAAGAACAGAGGGCCGGGGAUGUAGCUCAGUGGUUCCGCCUCCUGCCUCACAAGGUCAAGGACCUGAGUUCGAUCCCUGGUACCAAAAAAAAAAGAAAGAAAUUAAAGAACAGGAA